rnacentral:rRNA from 1 species
GAAUUUUAUAUUUUAUUAUAUGAAUCUAGAGUAGGAAAAAUAUUAUAGAAUAUUUAGUUGGGGGGAUAAUUAAAUUAAAAAAACUUUAAUUAAAUGAGGACAUAGAUUAAUGAUUGAAAAAAAUUAUGGAGUGAUAUAUAAAUUAAGAAAGAAUUAAUUACCUUAGGGAUAACAGCGUAAUAUUAUUAGAGAGUUCAUAUUGAUAAUAGUGAUUGC